CACUUUCCUGCCGCCGCGGGAGGAAAGUUUCGGUGGGUCCUGUCCUGGGGGUUACCCCCAGGGGCUGCCCGCGACCCCCUCACCCCUUCCCCCUCCCCCGAGAAGGGGUCACCUCCUCCCUCCCGCCCCACCGCCGCGCCCCGCGGAUGAUGCUCGGCACGGAGGGGUUCCCCCCCUCCCUCCUCUCCCUCCCACCUCUCCUUUCCCCUCCCCUCCCCUCAGCCCUCGGUACUCAGCCCUUGACUUUGCCGAAGGUGCCGACCCCCAGCGUAUCCCCCAGCACGUAGUGGCCGAUCUUCACCCUCCCGUCGUGCUUCUGCUGCUUCUCGGCCAUCUUCGCCCCCCGGCGGAGGACCACAAUGCGCAGGGCCGGCACGGAUAUGCUUUCCGGGCUUAACGUUUCCAGGAUCCCACUGCUCAGUGCAGACAUGGCAGCAGAUGGAUGCUGAGCACUUUCAAGCUGGCCAUUUAGAGAGUUUGUAACCAGAAAUCAAUCCAGGCAGAAAAAAUGUACAUCUACCUGUUUACAUCAUAAACCACAAACGCGUUUGCAUCCUGCAACAAACACCUGGGCAACAUCCAGAGGAGACAUUCCCAACGUGUUAACUACUGCCAGCGCUGGGAUCCUGUAACCACAGCACAUGGAGAUGAUGGGAACUCAGUUAAAUUAAGGAGAACCACCAAGAUUGUGAAACGUGGCAGCAGGACAAGAGCUGGUUGCAACACAGGCUAGACUUUAGGUCUGUUGGCCAAUCGAACACAUCUGAUGCUGGUGAUUGGGAUGCCAGAGACAGUUCCCUGACUGCUGAUCUACCCUGUGGGUCACUGAGGCACGUUCUUGAGGGCUGAUCCUCCUGGCCUGCACAAAUCUGCAUGUCCAAUUUCCCGAAUGGCAGAAAAUUCUACAUUAAGAUGACAUUUAUCAGCUAAUCUUUUAAAAGAAAUUAACUGGGUAUUUAUGAGGCUUAGACUUAGGGUAUCAUAGAAUCAUUAAGGUUGGAAAAGACCACCAAGACCAGCAAGUCCGACUGUCAACUGAUUCCCCACCAUGCCCACCAACUACAUCCUUCUGUGCCACAAUCUAACUUCUCAGUGGCACCAGGGAGAGCACAACCAAGCUCCUUUUGGAUCCCACUUGUAUCUUGUUCCCUUACUGCAAGGACAGACCCAAGCCCAACCCUGGCAAACAUUUCCUACCAGGGCAGCCACCACUGUGCAGGCUGGGUGAUGAGGCACCAGUGGGUGCAAGGAAACCCUAAAGCCCACAGGGGUCAGGGCUGGCAAUGCCCCACAUCCCUCCAUGCUGCUCAGCCCUUCUGCUGAUGUUCUGCAGGAGAGCAGCAGCUGAUGGUGCUAAAAAUACCCUUGGGCAGGGUAGCAGUGGUUCAGCACUGGGCUUCCCAGAAGAGUGCUGGUAUUUCAGCCUUGUGACUCCAGCUCAGGCCACUUGAUGAACAGCAUGCAACUUUGCUCUGAUUUCCCCAUUUGGUAGGGAACAAUCUCAGUAACGGAUGGAUAAGUCAGCAAACAGCAUAGUUCGCUUUCUUAUUUUAGGUCUCCCAUAGACAUAGAUAUGAAUGACUCUGAAAUAUAGGCAGCACCUGGUCCUUCCCUGCUGUCACAUUGUCCCCUUGAUGGAAAAGCAAAGGAGAUUCCUAUACAAGAUCCCUCUGUAGGUCUGAGGAGGCAGCCGUAAAUGUCCGACCAUAUGCGUGCCAAACAUCCAACCACUCUGCAACCUCACUUUGCCCAUUGCACGUGGGGCAAGAUGGGAGGGAUUCCCCAAAUCUGCAAGCACAUCCCAUAAAAUACCCCGGACACCAGCUGAGAGCACCACCUGUCAGUGGAGUGCUUUGUUCCCAAACCAGGUCCUGCUGGCACAUCCCUCUGACACACUCUACAGAAGAAAAAGUAAAACUAGGAACUUUUUGACUUCUUAUUUUGCAGAAGUGUGACCUUUCGACCUGAAUCACGAUGAGUGGUUAUGAGGAAGAGCUGCUCUCACUUCUAAAUUAUUGCCAUGCAAUGAGCAGGUUUCCAUGGGGUAGCUGAAGGCAUGUCCUGAGGUACAAGGGAUACAAGCAUCCCAUUCUUGCUCUACUUUGCACUAAAGGACUGGUCUUAGAGGAGCUUAUUCUCUAAAAAUGACCUGACUGGCUGAAUAAAACACAAUUUCUGUUUUAAUAUUGUUGUGUUAUGAAACACUGCAAUAGAGGCACAAAUGUGGGCAAGAACAAGUUUUACUGCAGACGCUUUAUCUGCUGAUAGAUUGUCCCAGUGCUGCAUUCCUCAUUCCCUGGGGGUCUGGUCCAGCUCAGAUUGGAAGAUAGUGAAGAUCUUGGGAGAUCUCCAGUAGUGUGGGUCAAAAUUCACUGAUUACAGAAAUGCAAUUGGUUCAGUUGAUCUGCAUAAAGAAAAAAACCACAGCCCAUAGUGGGAAUGUAGAGUAGGAUUGAGAGGAAAAGCUGAGCCCUAAUAGGGAGGCUGGUGCAUGGUGUAUUCAAUAAUUGCAUUUAUGAAUAAACAAUUAAGUAUUACCAAUGAAUCUCUUGCAUUUUAUUGACCCAGGCACAGAAGCUGCUUUUUGGCACUGAUGACUUGCUCAGUUCACGCUUGACAAUGGGGAAUUGUAGUGGCUGUUCCCUUAAGAAAUCAUCCAAGAUUGGGACUUAUUUGUGCGCCAUUGCUUGCAUCAAUUAACAGUACAAUCUUUUUGUUAUGAAAACGCAAACAUUAGUAGCCUGAGGAGCCUUGUAAAUGCAAAUAUAAAACUUUAAUUUCAGUAACCCCCACUUUCCCUUCAAGUACAAUAAAGGCUCUUUUUUUUUUUUUUUUUCAUUUGCUGUUACAACGACGGGUCUUUAUUAUUAUUAUUAUUAUUUUUCCUCUUUCUCUUCACUUUACAUUGAGUUUAACUCAGGGGAUUUCAGUAGGGAUAGUUUUCCAUCAGCAGAUAUGGGGUGGCUGCAGCCGGUGCUGGGAUCUGUGGGCUCCUUGGGGCAGGUCAGUGCCAACCAUAGGGAGGGGAUCAUGGCUGGGCACUGGGGCCAGCCUUGGGCAGGGCAGAAUUCUCACGUGAGGAUUCUUUCCACUCUCUCCAGGCAGCUGGAGAGCCUAAAUUUGGCAUCGUGUUUCUGUUGCGAGAAUGAGAAGGAGAGAGAGACCUUGAAACGUGCCCUUGGCCAUGGCCCCGGUUGGGUGACCAUUGCUGCAGGGAAUGCUUUGGGGUCAAAACUGAUGGUUUUACUGUGAAGUGGUAUGAAAGAGAGAGCUGCCUUCUUGAAAGCAAGGUGGGAGAUGGCACCUGAGUCCGUGAUGAAAGAAUUGGACAAAAACCCAAGGUCUGCUUUCCCCUCUCUUUUUUACACCACGCAUGUACAAGUAAGACAGCCGCUUUGCUUUCUUCCUCCCAUGUUGGCCCAAGUGUGCCUGGGUAUGUUUCUAAACAGAAAACCUGCCCUCAGCAAGGUGCAGUCUGCAGCUCCUCAGGUUCCC
rnacentral:lncRNA from 1 species